CGAGCGUAAAAACUGUGACGUUGACAGUCAGUCACAGUGUACAUGUAGAAUUCAGCUAAUGUAGACGCUUCAAAACACGGAUAGGUUUCGCACUUCAUUAUUUCUUCUUGACGUUACGUGCACCUAGCCAAAUUAACUCAGACCUUCAACAAAGCGAUAACCUUUGAAGGCAGUACAUUGAAAUGUUCAUGUUGGCGAUGAUACUAAGCUGAUCCAGUGUUAAAGGUCCUUUACCUUCGGUCUGUUCGACAUUCUGGGACGUACGGAACUCCUGAAGGCAGAAUCCACGUGGAUAGUUAUAUUUAUUAAUGAGAAGUGUUACACGCUUCCAAGCCCAGCUCGUGUUCACCCUACUGGGUCGAUGCAUUUCCUUGACGAGGAUAUGUGCUUAGAAUACUGAAAAUAAGUAAUUACGUCGGCAGCUUGAU